rnacentral:rRNA from 1 species
GGGGGUGAGUGGCGCACGGGUGCGUAACGCGUGGGAAUGUGCCCCUGGGUGCGGAAUAACGUCUGGAAACGGUCGCUAAUACCGCAUAAUGACUCCGGUCCAAAGAUUUAUCGCCCAGGGAUCAGCCCGCGUCAGAUUAGAUUGUUGGUGGGGUAACGGCCUACCAAGUCUACGAUCUGUAGGGGGUCUGAGAGGAUGAUCCCCCACACUGGUACUGAGACACGGACCAGACUCCUACGGGAGGCAGCAGUGAGGAAUAUUGGACAAUGGGGGCAACCCUGAUCCAGCCAUGCCGCGUGAGUGAAGAAGGCCUUAGGGUUGUAAAGCUCUUUCAAUGGUGAAGAUAAUGACGGUAGCCAUACAAGAAGCCCCGGCUAAAUUCGUGCCAGCAGCCGCGGUAAUACGAAUGGGGCAAGCGUUGUUCGGAAUCACUGGGCUUAAAGCGUAUGUAGGCGGAAACGAAAGUCAGGAGUGAAAUCCCGGGGCUCAACCCCGGAACUGCUCUUGAAACUUCGUUUCUAGAAUCCUGGAGAGGUUGGGAGAAUUCCUAGUGUAGAGGUGAAAUUCGCAGAUAUUAGGAGGAAUACCAGUGGCGUAAGCGCCCAACUGGACAGGUAUUGACGCUCAGAUACGAAAGCGUGGGGAGCAAACAGGAUUAGAUACCCUGGUAGUCCACGCCG